UACGGAGGGUGCAAGCGUUAUCCGGAUUCACUGGGUUUAAAGGGUGCGUAGGCGGCCCUGUAAGUCAGUGGUGAAAUACUGCAGCUUAACUGUAGCAUUGCCAUUGAUACUGCAGGGCUUGAGUACAGAUGAGGUAGGCGGAAUUGAUGGUGUAGCGGUGAAAUGCAUAGAUACCAUCAAGAACACCGAUUGCGAAGGCAGCUUACUAAGCUGUAACUGACGCUGAGGCACGAAAGCGUGGGGAUCGAACAGG
rnacentral:rRNA from 1 species